CUUGUACACACCGCCCGUCACACCAUGGGAGCGGGUUCUGCCAGAAGUAGUUAGCCUAACCGCAACCCGGAGGGCGAUUACCACGGCAGGGUUCGUGACUGGGGUG
rnacentral:rRNA from 1 species